UACGUAGGUGGCAAGCGUUUGUCCGGAUUUAUUGGGUUUAAAGGGUGCGUAGGCGGCUUUGUAAGUCAGUGGUGAAAUACUCUAGCUUAACUAGAGGGGUGCCAUUGAUACUGCAGAGCUUGAGUACAGAUGAGGUAGGCGGAAUUGACGGUGUAGCGGUGAAAUGCAUAGAUAUCGUCAAGAACACCGAUAGCGAAGGCAGCUUACUGGGCUGUAACUGACGCUGAUGCACGAAAGUGUGGGGAUCAAACAGG
rnacentral:rRNA from 1 species